rnacentral:rRNA from 1 species
AGAGUUUGAUCCUGGCUCAGGAUGAACGCUAGCUACAGGCUUAACACAUGCAAGUCGAGGGGCAUCGGGAAGAAAGCUUGCUUUCUUUGCCGGCGACCGGCGCACGGGUGAGUAACACGUAUCCAACCUGCCCUUUACUCGGGGAUAGCCUUUCGAAAGAAAGACUAAUACCCGAUGGCAUAAUGAUUCCGCAUGGUUUCAUUAUUAAAGGAUUCCGGUAAAGGAUGGGGAUGCGUUCCAUUAGGUUGUUGGUGAGGUAACGGCCCACCAAGCCUUCGAUGGAUAGGGGUUCUGAGAGGAAGGUCCCCCACAUUGGAACUGAGACACGGUCCAAACUCCUAUGGGAGGCAGCAGUGAGGAAUAUUGGUCAAUGGGCGCUAGCCUGAACCAGCCAAGUAGCGUGAAGGAUGAAGGCUCUAUGGGUCGUAAACUUCUUUUAUAUAAGAAUAAAGUGCAGUAUGUAUACUGUUUUGUAUGUAUUAUAUGAAUAAGGAUCGGCUAACUCCGUGCCAGCAGCCGCGGUAAUACGGAGGAUCCGAGCGUUAUCCGGAUUUAUUGGGUUUAAAGGGCGCGUAGGCGGGACGACAAGUCAGCGGUAAAAGACUGCAGCUAAACUGUAGCACGCCGUUGAAACUGUCGACCUGGAGACGAGACGAGGGAGGCGGAACAAGUGAAGUAGCGGUGAAAUGCAUAGAUAUCACUUGGAACCCCGAUAGCGAAGGCAGCUUCCCAGGCUCGAUCUGACGCUGAUGCGCGAGAGCGUGGGUAGCGAACAGGAUUAGAUACCCUGGUAGUCCACGCCGUAAACGAUGCUCACUGGAUCUUGGCGAUACACGGCCAGGGUUCAAGCGAAAGUAUUAAGUGAGCCACCUGGGGAGUACGUCGGCAACGAUGAAACUCAAAGGAAUUGACGGGGGCCCGCACAAGCGGAGGAACAUGUGGUUUAAUUCGAUGAUACGCGAGGAACCUUACCCGGGUUUAAAUGCAGGUUGCAUGAGGUGGAAACACCUCUUUCCCUCGGGACUACCUGCAAGGUGCUGCAUGGUUGUCGUCAGCUCGUGCCGUGAGGUGUCGGGUUAAGUCCCAUAACGAGCGCAACCCCUAUCGCCAGUUGCCAUCGGUUUCGGCCGGGCACUCUGUCGAGACUGCCACCGUAAGGUGCGAGGAAGGCGGGGAUGACGUCAAAUCAGCACGGCCCUUACACCCGGGGCGACACACGUGUUACAAUGGCCGGUACAGAGGGCAGCCACGGGGCGACCCGGAGCGAAUCUCUAAAGCCGGUCGUAGUUCGGACUGGAGUCUGCAACCCGACUCCACGAAGUUGGAUUCGCUAGUAAUCGCGCAUCAGCCAUGGCGCGGUGAAUACGUUCCCGGGCCUUGUACACACCGCCCGUCAAGCCAUGGGAGCCGGGGGUACCUGAAGUACGUAACCGCAAGGAUCGUCCUAGGGUAAAACUGGUGACUGGGGCUAAGUCGUAACAAGGUAGCCGUA